GAUGAACGCUGGCGGCGUGCCUAAUACAUGCAAGUCGAGCGAACGGACGAGAAGCUUGCUUCUCUGAUGUUAGCGGCGGACGGGUGAGUAACACGUGGAUAACCUACCUAUAAGACUGGGAUAACUUCGGGAAACCGGAGCUAAUACCGGAUAAUAUUUUGAACCGCAUGGUUCAAAAGUGAAAGACGGUCUUGCUGUCACUUAUAGAUGGAUCCGCGCUGCAUUAGCUAGUUGGUAAGGUAACGGCUUACCAAGGCAACGAUGCAUAGCCGACCUGAGAGGGUGAUCGGCCACACUGGAACUGAGACACGGUCCAGACUCCUACGGGAGGCAGCAGUAGGGAAUCUUCCGCAAUGGGCGAAAGCCUGACGGAGCAACGCCGCGUGAGUGAUGAAGGUCUUCGGAUCGUAAAACUCUGUUAUUAGGGAAGAACAUAUGUGUAAGUAACUGUGCACAUCUUGACGGUACCUAAUCAGAAAGCCACGGCUAACUACGUGCCAGCAGCCGCGGUAAUACGUAGGUGGCAAGCGUUAUCCGGAAUUAUUGGGCGUAAAGCGCGCGUAGGCGGUUUUUUAAGUCUGAUGUGAAAGCCCACGGCUCACCCGUGGAGGGUCAUUGGAAACUGGAAAACUUGAGUGCAGAAGAGGAAAGUGGAAUUCCAUGUGUAGCGGUGAAAUGCGCAGAGAUAUGGAGGAACACCAGUGGCGAAGGCGACUUUCUGGUCUGUAACUGACGCUGAUGUGCGAAAGCGUGGGGAUCAAACAGGAUUAGAUACCCUGGUAGUCCACGCCGUAAACGAUGAGUGCUAAGUGUUAGGGGGUUUCCGCCCCUUAGUGCUGCAGCUAACGCAUUAAGCACUCCGCCUGGGGAGUACGACCGCAAGGUUGAAACUCAAAGGAAUUGACGGGGACCCGCACAAGCGGUGGAGCAUGUGGUUUAAUUCGAAGCAACGCGAAGAACCUUACCAAAUCUUGACAUCCUUUGACAACUCUAGAGAUAGAGCCUUCCCCUUCGGGGGACAAAGUGACAGGUGGUGCAUGGUUGUCGUCAGCUCGUGUCGUGAGAUGUUGGGUUAAGUCCCGCAACGAGCGCAACCCUUAAGCUUAGUUGCCAUCAUUAAGUUGGGCACUCUAAGUUGACUGCCGGUGACAAACCGGAGGAAGGUGGGGAUGACGUCAAAUCAUCAUGCCCCUUAUGAUUUGGGCUACACACGUGCUACAAUGGACAAUACAAAGGGCAGCGAAACCGCGAGGUCAAGCAAAUCCCAUAAAGUUGUUCUCAGUUCGGAUUGUAGUCUGCAACUCGACUACAUGAAGCUGGAAUCGCUAGUAAUCGUAGAUCAGCAUGCUACGGUGAAUACGUUCCCGGGUCU
rnacentral:rRNA from 1 species